AGUGAAAGGGAUUACUCUACAUCUAACUGAGGGCGCAAUUGCUCCCAGAAUUCUUUUUUCAGACAAAACAACAAAAAUAAAAUACUCCUCAAAUCCCAAUUUCCCAAACCCUAACCCUACCUCUUCCACCGCCAUGGCCAAGAAACGAAAGCUUCGAUCCUCAGACCCUGAACCCGCCAAACCCAUCGAGCCACAGCAACAAGACCAAGAGUCAGAGGAACAACUCGACCAGCAAGAGCAACCCAAUCCCGAACCAACCCUAGAAGACCCCAACAGCAUGGCCAUCGACGAACCAACAGAGGAACAGCAGCAAGAACAGCAAAUCGCCGAAGGUGAAGAAGAGGAAGAGGAAUCAGAGGAGCAACAGGAGCCGGAGCCAGAAACCCUAGAAGAGCAACAGGAGCCGGAAGCCCUAGAAGAUGCGAACCACGCCGAAGCAAACGGUGCUGGCGAAGAAGGGAACAAUGAAGAGGAAGAUGAGGAUCUCAGUCUUGAAGACGAGCCCGUGGAGAAGCUUCUUGAACCCUUCACGAAGGAGCAGCUGCAUGCUCUUGUGAAGCAGGCCGUGGAGAGGUUCCCUGAAUUCGUCGAGAGCGUACGCCAGCUCGCCGAUGUGGACCCCGCACACCGGAAAAUCUUCGUCCACGGCCUCGGCUGGGACGCCACUGCCGAAACCCUAACUUCCGUGUUUGGGAAAUAUGGCGAGAUCGAGGACUGCAAGGCCGUCACCGACAAAGUCUCUGGCAAAUCGAAGGGUUACGCAUUCAUUCUUUUCAAGCACAGAGAUGAUGCUCGCAAGGCGCUGAAAAAUCCACAGAAGAAAAUUGGAAACCGUACAACUUCUUGUCAGCUUGCCUCUGCUGGCCCUGUGCCGGCGCCUCCUCCGAACGCCAACCCGGUUUCUGAGUAUACGCAAAGGAAGAUAUUUGUGAGCAACGUGAGUGCUGAGAUUGAUCCCCAAAAACUGCUUGAAUUCUUCAAGCAGUUCGGGGAGGUUGAGGAUGGUCCUCUUGGGCUAGACAAGAACACUGGGAAACCUAAGGGUUUUGCCCUGUUUGUUUAUAAGACUGUGGAGAGUGCUAAAAAGGCUUUGGAAGAGCCUCAUAAGAACUUUGAGGGCCACACGUUGUAUUGUCAGAAGGCUGUCGAUGGUCCCAAGGGGAACAAAGGGUAUCAUCAGUAUCACCAUCAGCAGCAUUCCCAUCAUCACCACCAUCACCAUCAUCAGCCUCAUUAUCAGAGAAAGGAGAAGAACAAAUAUUCCUCUGGGGGAGGUGGUCCGUCCCAUGGCAGUGGUCAUUUGAUGGCCCCUUCGGCGUCUGCUGUGGGGGGUUUCAACCCGGGCGUGCCGGCUCAAGGGUUGAAUCCUGCUCUUGGGCAGGCGCUGACGGCUUUGCUUACUAACCAAGGAGCUGGGUUGGGUCUUGGAAAUCUGCUUGGAGGGCUUGGUGGUGCUCCCGUUAACCAGGCGGGGCCACCUGCCCCGUAUGGGAAUCAGCCUGCUAUGGGAUAUGGGAAUCAGCCAGCAAUGCAACAGGGAUACCAGAAUCCUCAAAUGGGUCAGAGCAGUGCUGUCAGACCCCACCCUGGUGCUGGCGCUCCUUACAUGGGUCAUUAGGGUUGUCAUACCAUACACUAUUUGCUUGAGGGUUGGCUUGCUGACAUAUAGGUCCUUGCCACAACCAAAUGCUUGAAUCUGUUUCUAACUUGUGUCAUCUGCAUCCACUAACGGAGCUUGGAACCUUCCAUUCACUUCUUUGGCAAGAAAUGGCCACACUUGGUGGGUGGGUUGGCUCUCACUGUAUUCAAGUGUACCGGGGUUUGGAGUGAAUGUCAUAGAAGAUCAGAUGGGUGCGAUGGUGUUAUCAUCUUUGCAGUUAUCCAUGGCUUGACAAGGCAGUUGGCACAAGCGAGAACUGCUCAUCUGACUCAAACAACCGGAGGUAUUAUAUGGCGACCAAGAAGAUUAGUGAUAAUAUUCGGAAAAAAAAAACUUAAUGUGUUGUUAAAUUGAGCUUCGAUAAAUUUGGGGUGGUUGAUCUUGGACGAGGUGUAACAUUUGUUUUAUUUGGAAAUUCGAUGUUUCCUCCAACACUUGGUCUAACCACCGAUAAAUUAGUCAUUAAGAUACUUAACUCCUGAUGAUCGACAAAGAUAUGCAGAUUUUAACUUAUUUUUGUA